GCGGGCGUGGCGGAAUUGGCAGACGCACUAGAUUCAGGGUCUAGGGCCUUGUGCGUGGGGGUUCAAGUCCCUUCGCCCGCACCA
rnacentral:tRNA from 1 species